rnacentral:lncRNA from 1 species
UGCUUCAUCUCCACCAGAACAAAUGAAUGACAAAACCAGAUGAAAGACAAAGCCAAAGUAAAUCCCUUCUCAUCUAUGUCACUGCAAAAGAUAUAGUAACAGCAAAAACAAGCUCUAAAAACCUUGUUUGUAAAAGGUUUGGUAAAACUGUUUCUUUAAAGAUAUUCCAUCAUUUGGACUUUAAUUUUGCUAGGCUCUCCCUACCCCACCAAAUUGUUAUUUCAUAUAAAAUAAUUGGACA